UCCUGGUGUUCAUUGCGAUGUAGCCCCACUCCGAUCCAUCCCGAACUCGGUUGUGAAAUGCGUCAGCGGCGACGAUAUUUGGGGGGAAGCCCCCUGAGAAAAUAGCUCAAUGCCAGGUA
rnacentral:rRNA from 2 species